rnacentral:rRNA from 1 species
AGAGUUUGAUCCUGGCUCAGAAUGAACGCUGGCGGCGUGCUUAACACAUGCAAGUCGGAUGUGCCGCAAGGUGCAUGGCAGACGGGUGAGUAACGCGUAGGGAACCUACCUCUUUGUGGGGAAUAACGUUCCGAAAGGAAUGGUAAUACCGCAUGAGAUCCACGACUGGGAUGUUGUGGAUGAAAGCCGGGGAUCGAAAGACCUGGCGCAAGGAGAGGGUCCUGCGUCUGAUUAGCUAGUUGGUGGGGUAACGGCCUACCAAGGCGACGAUCAGUAGCCGGCCUGAGAGGGUGAUCGGCCACACUGGAACUGAGACACGGUCCAGACUCCUACGGGAGGCAGCAGUGGGGAAUCUUGCCCAAUGGGCGAAAGCCUGAGGCAGCAACGCCGCGUGUGGGAUGACGGCCUUCGGGUUGUAAACCACUUUCAGCAGGGACGAAAUUGACGGUACCUGCAGAAGAAGCUCCGGCCAACUACGUGCCAGCAGCCGCGGUAAUACGUAGGGAGCAAGCGUUGUCCGGAUUUAUUGGGCGUAAAGCGCGCGUAGGCUGUUUGAUAAGUCGGUUGUGAAACCUCCAAGCUCAACUUGGAGCCUGCAUCCGAAACUGUCAUGACUAGAGUCUGGUAGGGGAACACGGAAUUCCUGGUGUAGCGGUGAAAUGCUUAGAUAUCAGGAGGAACACCAGUGGCGAAGGCGGUGUUCUGGGCCAGUACUGACGCUGAGGUGCGAAAGCGUGGGGAGCGAACAGGAUUAGAUACCCUGGUAGUCC